GCACGUGCGAACAAGCCACCGGGUCUGCACGAGACGCAGGCUCUCAGCGUCGCGAGAACUCUGCUCAGCCACUUUGCGACAGCGUUUCACCGUUUCUAACGCUCGUGCGCCGUCCAUCGCAUCGCGCGUUCCUCGGUGCUCGUUUUCUUCCCGCUCGACGUCACCCAUUUUCGCGUCGCGCUUGGUGUGCGUUUGAAGCUGCACAUGGUCGAACGUUCCGGUGGAGGCCAGACGCCGAAGCCUGUGUGACUAGACGCGAGGUCGACCACGUCGCGGCUAUGUAGUUAGACCGCUUCUAUAGAAGUACGGGAUCCUCGCAUAAACAGCCUCUUCAGCCGUGCUUCCAGUGCCGCGCGGACCAAAGCUAGGCUUCUCGACAGCGAAGGACGAAGAGGGUGACUGUGCCAAGAAGCUGUCGCCGAGUUCUACGCGUCCCCACCUCCACUGGUUCACCCGCCUUCUACAGCUCCUAUUGGAUAUAACAUACCAGGAUGAAUUUUUCGUCUUCGUCCAUGGCCGGUCUCAAGGAAGUUGGCCUUCCAGGUCGGGAGGCUCUCCGCGAAGCCUUGACCAACUGUACAGAUCCGCUGCGAGCAAUAGAAGAGUUCCAAGAGGAGAAUGCGAUCCUCUUGCCUUCUUUGCGCCCUAUGUUAUCGCUGCUAGACAUCCACGGCGUCCGGCGACUGGACUUCCACACAUCCUUGCGGGAUAAACUCAAGGGACAUCUCAUGCGGCAGAUCGAGACCCUGGCCAAGCAAGAAGGCCACGAGAAGGAGAGGAAGCUCAAGAAUAUGCUGGAGAGAAGCUUCCCAUACAUCAAGGACCCGGCCCUUCGUCCAGUGGUCAUGUGCAUACUCAAGAAUGUGAAGUCCAUGGACGAGAAGUACAUCAAGCUGCUGGUCAGUGACAAGUCGCUUUACAAAGAAUGCGACAUCCAGGUGAAGCGUCAGAUCUGGCACGACAACAAGGACCUCUUCGCGGAGGAAGUUCUCCCUCUGCUGUCCCAGUACGUGAGCGAGAAAGAGGAGGCCCUGGCAGGCCUGGCUGCCUCGGUGGCCGGCGAGUCGCCCUCCUCAUUCUUCGGACCGACGCCCAAACAGCGCCGCCAGGGGGCCGUCCUGCAGCGCCUCCUGGCGAUGGUGGACCGCAGUUUGGUUCUGUACAAAAUGGUUGUGCAGUUCGCGCGCAACAGGUUCCUGCGAACGCAGAACGCCCACUACUGCACGCUGCGCGUCGAGCUGCUCAUGGCGCUGCACGACUUGGAGAUCCAGGAAAUCACGGCUAAAGACCGUUCCCACAAGUUCGCCUGGUGUCUCGAUGCCUGCAUCCGGGAGAAGAGCAUGGACGACAAGAGGUCUCGAGAGCUUCAAUCCAUUCUUGACGUCAAGCGCGGGCAAGAAGAACUCCUGUGCGACCUCGCCAUGACGCUGUGUGACCCGUACGCCAUCAACUUUCUUGGCCAGUCAGCUCUGAAGAGCAUGACCCACCUCAUCAAAGUCGAAGGCAUGCCGAGGGACAACCAUUUUUUGGUGCUAUUGCUGCGCAUGCUGGCCCUGGGCAUGGAGGCGUGGACGAUGUUGAACACCGAGAACUACACGGAGCCGAAGCUGGACGUGCAGCUCUUCACAAAGUUUCUGCCAUCUCUCAUGUGCCUCAUGGUUGAUGAUCAGUUGCGAAAGCGGGACUCCCGCACGAACUCUCAGGAUGAUCAGGGAUCAGCCAACGCAAAUACUGAUUACUCGGGACCAGUCCCUGAAACGUUCCAGGCCUACGUUCAGGGGAAUCCGCUGGCGAGUGUGCUCGCGGUGUUCUACGUUUUGCACGUCGCUCGUCAGCGUGACCGAACGGGCCUGCUGCGUGUGCUGGGCACCCUGGCCACAGCCGAAGGCCGGCGUGCUUACCGGGACCCGUUCUUGCACACGCUGGUUGGCCACUUGACUCGCAUGGCUGACCACUUUGCCAGGGAAGACUUCUGCAUGGUCAUUUUCGAUGACUUCUUCCUCCGGGGCUUGAGAAGCAGCGCUCCGAAAGGCAACAGGCACGCCGAGAGUACCAGGAUCACUGCGAAGCAUUUGAUGCGCUUGCUGUGGCACGUGCAUGCCAAGUUGCCUCCCGCAAGGUUGAAUGGCCUGGUGAAGAAACUCCAGCCCUUUGCUCAGACCAGCGAAGUCCUGAAAUCGGCAUAUAAAGGCUUGCUGGAGAAAAUAAAGUACGUGCCACCCGAAGCAGCAGGACGCGGUUCAGCAAACCCUGCAUUGCCAAGUUCACCAGCGUUGACAUCUAUCUGACUUAGAAGGUCCUGCCUUCGAAAUAGGUAUGUUGUGCAGGUGGGUCACGGAAGGGUCGUGGAGGGCGUCAGAAAGAGCAGUAAGUUCCGGAGGCUCAAGUAACGGGACUAAGGCUAUGACGACGAUAUGCAAAAUGCAAUGAUACAUUACACGUUGGCAGUUUCCGAGACUUCAAGUCGCUGUUGCGUUAUGAAGCUGAAAAUUUCGCACCGGAAUCGAUGGGCUCGACAUCCCAUGAACGCGCAGGCCCGCUUACCGAAAUCAUCCGUCCAUACUUCCUAUAGCGACUUCAUUUGUUCAUUUGAAAUAAACACCCAGAAAAAUGGC